rnacentral:SRP_RNA from 1 species
UCCGGGCGUGUUGGUGCGUGCCUGCAGUCCCAGCUACUCCAGAGGCUGUGGCUGGAGGAUCGUUUGAGCCCAGGAGUUCUGGGCUGUAGUGCUCUAUGCCGAUCGGGUGUCAGCACUAAGUUUGGCAUCAAUAUGGUGACCUCUGGGAGGGGGGGACCACCAGGUUGCCUAAGGAGGGGUGAACCGGCCCAGGUCGGAAAUGGAGCAGGUCAAAAUUCCCGUGCUGAUCAGAAGUGGGAUCACGCCUGUGAAUAGCCACUGCACUCCAGCCUGGGCAACAUAGCGAGACUCCGUCUCUU